UGGUUGUCUAGCAUGCGAGUCAUUGUAGCAUACAAGGCAUACGGCUCAGUAACGCGUAGUCAACCUAACCUAUGGACGGGAAUAACCUCGGGAAACUGAGAAUAAUGCCCGAUAGAACACUAUACCUGGAAUGGUUUGUGUUCCAAAUGAUUUAUCGCCAUAGGAUGGGACUGCGGCCUAUCAGUUUGUUGGUGAGGUAAUGGCCCACCAAGACUAUUACAGGUACGGGCUCUGAGAGGAGUAGCCCGGAGAUGGGUACUGAGACACGGACCCAGGCCCUAUGGGGCGCAGCAGGCGAGAAAACUUUGCAAUGUGCGAAAGCACGACAAGGUUAAUCCGAGUGAUUUGUGCUAAACGAAUCUUUUGUUAGUCCUAGAAACACUAACGAAUAAGGGGUGGGCAAGUUCUGGUGUCAGCCGCCGCGGUAAAACCAGCACCUCAAGUGGUCAGGAUGAUUAUUGGGCCUAAAGCAUCCGUAGCCGGCUCUGUAAGUUUUCGGUUAAAUCUGUACGCUUAACGUACAGGCUGCCGGGAAUACUGCAGAGCUAGGGAGUGGGAGAGGUAGACGGUACUCGGUAGGAAGUGGUAAAAUGCUUUGAUCUAUCGAUGACCACCUGUGGCGAAUGCGGUCUACCAGAACACGUCCGACGGUGAGGGAUGAAAGCUGGGGGAGCAAACCCGGGAUUAGAAUACCAGGGUAGGUCCAAGCCUGGUAACUAAUGCAAACUCAGUGAUGCAUUUGGCUUGGUGGCCAAUGGCCAAGGUUGCC
rnacentral:rRNA from 1 species